GAUGAACGCUGGCGGCGUGCCUAAUACAUGCAAGUCGAGCGAACAGACGAGGAGCUUGCUCCUCUGACGUUAGCGGCGGACGGGUGAGUAACACGUGGAUAACCUACCUAUAAGACUGGGAUAACUUCGGGAAACCGGAGCUAAUACCGGAUAAUAUAUUGAACCGCAUGGUUCAAUAGUGAAAGACGGUUUUGCUGUCACUUAUAGAUGUAUCCGCGCCGCAUUAGCUAGUUGGUAAGGUAACGGCUUACCAAGGCGACGAUGCGUAGCCGACCUGAGAGGGUGAUCGGCCACACUGGGACUGAGACACGGUCCAGACUCCUACGGGAGGCAGCAGUAGGGAAUCGUCCGCAAUGGGCGAAAGCCUGACGGAGCAACGCCGCGUGAGUGAUGAAGGUCUUCGGAUCGUAAGACUCUGUUAUUAGGGAAGAACAAAUGUGUAAGUAACUAUGCACGUCUUGACGGUACCUAAUCAGAAAGCCACGGCUAACUACGUG
rnacentral:rRNA from 1 species